rnacentral:rRNA from 2 species
UCUUGAUUUAAUUUUGAACGAGUGGCGGACGGGUGAGUAACACGUGGGUAACCUGCCCUUAAGUGGGGGAUAACAUUUGGAAACAGAUGCUAAUACCGCAUAAAUCCAAGAACCGCAUGGUUCUUGGCUGAAAGAUGGCGUAAGCUAUCGCUUUUGGAUGGACCCGCGGCGUAUUAGCUAGUUGGUGAGGUAACGGCUCACCAAGGCAAUGAUACGUAGCCGAACUGAGAGGUUGAUCGGCCACAUUGGGACUGAGACACGGCCCAAACUCCUACGGGAGGCAGCAGUAGGGAAUCUUCCACAAUGGACGCAAGUCUGAUGGAGCAACGCCGCGUGAGUGAAGAAGGCUUUCGGGUCGUAAAACUCUGUUGUUGGAGAAGAAUGGUCGGCAGAGUAACUGUUGUCGGCGUGACGGUAUCCAACCAGAAAGCCACGGCUAACUACGUGCCAGCAGCCGCGGUAAUACGUAGGUGGCAAGCGUUAUCCGGAUUUAUUGGGCGUAAAGCGAGCGCAGGCGGUUUUUUAAGUCUGAUGUGAAAGCCCUCGGCUUAACCGAGGAAGUGCAUCGGAAACUGGGAAACUUGAGUGCAGAAGAGGACAGUGGAACUCCAUGUGUAGCGGUGAAAUGCGUAGAUAUAUGGAAGAACACCAGUGGCGAAGGCGGCUGUCUGGUCUGUAACUGACGCUGAGGCUCG